rnacentral:lncRNA from 1 species
AGAUGACUCACUUAACCUCUCUGGGUCUCAGAAUCUUCAUCUACAAAGAGACCCAAGGAACCCUCAGCAUUAAGGCCCAGGUAAACUGAUACCUGGAGCUUCUUGGCACAAUGCCUGGCACAGGGUAGACUGUCUUUGGGUUCCAUAUAGACUGUUUACCUUGGGUUUGUAUCUUUUCCUUCUUCCCAUCCAAAUGGACUUUGGAAUCCCUGCAUAUGAAUUCACAUUGUGGCUCAGCAGGUUAAGAACCUGACAUUGUGUCUGUGAAGAUGCGGGUUCGAUCCCUGGCCUUACUUAGUGGGUUACGGAUCCAUGUUGCCACAAGCUAUGGCAUAAGCUGCAGAUGCAGCUUGGAUCCCGUGUUGCGGUGACUGUGGUAUAGGCCUGUAGCUGCAGCUCUGAUUCAACCCCUGGCCCAGGAAUUUCCAUAUGCCUUGGGUUUGGCCAUAAAAAGAAGAAAAGAAAAGAAAAGAAAAAAAGAAUCCUUGAGUAUUUGGAUUUUAUAGAUGCAUUUGGUAGUAAUGUGCUUCAUUUUUCUUUUCACUGAAGAAAAAUACACAUUUGUUGAAUUGAAGGCCAUUUUGUGAUACUUUGUUUAGGCAGGAUUUAGCUGGAAUGUGACCUUUUUGAGUCAUGAUGAACAACUUCUGAUGAGAUGUCUGAUUCCUGAGGGAGUGGAUAGUGUUUGAAGAUUUGGCCAAUUGCUAAUGUGAUGGCCAGGUGGUAAGAGGCCAGUUCCUGGUGUGAGGACCAAUUUCUGCCUCAAAAAAAAAGGGCAUCUAUCAUGCAUUGAACAUCUAUGAUGGGGCCAACUCAGUGAAGGGAAUGUAUGAAUUAUAUAUGCUUUAAAGUACUCCAUGAUAUCUGAGUUAGUUCUAGGAGUUCCCACUGUGGCUCAGUGGGUUAAAAACCUGAUGUAGUCUCCUUGAGGGUGUGGGUUCAAUCCCUGGCCUCGCUUGUGGGUUAAGAAUCGGGUGUUGCUCUGGCUGUGGUGUAGGUCCCAGCUACAGCUCCGAUUCAAUCCCUGGCCUGGGAAUUUCCAUAUGUGGCCAUAAAAAGUAAAAAGAGUCAGUUUUAACAUCAUAUUACUGGGUUCACAUAUCAUUUUGGCCACUCUAAGCAUAUGGCUUAAUGACUUCGUGUUUCUGUGAUAAUAGAAUUUCUGUCAUAGGGUUUGGAGGAGGAAUUAUCUCCUGCCACACAGUAAGUGUCCAUUUAUGUUUAGCUGUCCUAUUUUUAUCCAUAUCCUGCAGAUAGGGAAACUGAGGCUUGGGAAAUGACAGUGAGAGAGUCUUCCUCUUCCAAGAGCUUUCCUCUGGCACAGAGGGUUAGGGAUUGGGUGUUGUCACUGCAGAAGCUUGAGUUACUGCUGUGGCAUGGAUUUUAUCCCUGAUCUGGGAGCUUCCGUAUGCCAUGGGCGUGAAAAGAAAACAAGAGGAGAAAAACUUAAGUUUAUGUUUUUGCCUGAGAUACAAUUUUGGAUCUCAGAUUGUCCUAUACUCAUUUUCCAUUCAGGCCAGCCUUUUUCAAUGUCAGGACAUAAGCUUCUGACUUGGGAGUGAUAGGCCUAUGGGGGGCAUCUUGGAUACACCAUGGCACUAAGGCAUCAGGUUAAUGGCAGGGCAUGGUGGAUGUCUCCUGAGUGUCGACUGCUGAGACCCCCACAGAAGUUCUGCCCUGCUGGGAGGAAGGGCUGAGUUCAGAGAGUCUCCAGAGGUUUUCUUGGCAGAGACUGAGUCUAACUGAUGCCAGUUGGCUGUAUGAAAAGUGAGUUAGGACCAUGCACUGCUGGAUAACAGUCUCCAUGGUGAGAGUGGCUUUCAGCUCUUACACAUUAUCUCUUUCCAUCUUGAGAGCCACACCAGGAGGUGUGCAUGUUGCAUUUUACUUCUCUGAGGUCAGAGAAGUUCAUAUCUUGCCUUAUAACACAUGUUGGCCAAGGCCAGGUUUGAACUUGGGUUUGUUGGGCUCUUUAGGCUAUGUUCUUCCUCCACCCAUCCACUCUUCUCCACAAGGAUAGGACUCCAGGGCCAGCAGAGGGCCAGGGGAGGAUCCUGGCAAGGCAUUAGGGAGCAGUUGGCAACAGUAACAUGUUCUCAGUAACAUGGUCCCAGUAAGCAGUUAGGCUGAGCAAAGCUCCGUAGGAAGGAGGUGAGAUUGGCCGUGGUAUAGAGGGUCUCUAAUAAGAGCUCCUCAGCCAGGAAGUCAAGGAAAUUUGGAUGUAGGCUAGAUGGACAACCACGAGCACUCUGAGAUGCCUCUGCCCUCAGGAAGCACUGCUCAUAUGAAUGACAGUGGGAAAGUAUCCGUAAACCUGGUGGUGACUCCUACCUCAGAAAGCUGGGGCGGAUGGGUGGCUCUCACUCUCCCUGACCCUGUGGCCAGGAUGAUCCUCCUGGUCAUCUAUAUUUGGGUUCCAUUUCAAUGCAAAGUCCUGGCCUUUACCCACCCUGAGUCAGGGCAUCUCAUAUUUGGGGCAGAGGAGUGGGCAGUGAUCUUGAGAUGCUGGUGAAAGCUGUGGACUGCCUUCCCAGGGAAAUUUACUUCAGAAAUGUUGCAUGCAUUUCUGAGGUAUCUAGGUCUCAUGAGAGUUCUCCAUCAAUUAUAGAAAAGUCAGUAGAUCUGGUUAUAAGCCUUGCCUUAAACUAGUGGGUUGAUCCAAAGUCAAUGGGUACAAAAAAUUUUAUGUGUGGCAAUAAAUAAAUAUAAAAACAGCUAAAAUAGCUCACACUAUACUUAAGAAAUGUGCAGUAUCUAUGGGGGAAACUUCACGAUCUUACUGAGAGCAAAAAUGAAUCUAUAAGUAAGUGGAAAGAAUGUAUUCUUGGAUGGUAAGAGUCAAUGUUCAAAAGUAUAAAUUUUUCCACUAUUAAUUAGUACAUUCUUCCAUAUGCUGCAGGUGUGGCCCUAAAAAGCAACAAACAACCAAUGUUGAUAUCUAGCGAAAGGAAAAAACUCAGUGCUUUCCUAUGCCUUCUAUGAAAGGAAUUAUAGAUGAUACAAUAUUUAAUAAUAAUCAAUGGAGUGAUAAAAAGGCUAAAAGGAAAUAAAAAAGAAGGAAGAUUGAUGUAUUUUACUUAAUUUUUUUAAAGCUUGCACAGUAAAUUUACCACAGGGAAGUCAAAAGACAAAGUAGCCUCAAUGUGAGAGGCAGAGAUUAUAAGCAGAGUGUCAACAAAUGAAUGAGAAAAUAAUAAAACAAUCUAAUGAGCAAAGAGCAUCAACAGGCAGUUCAUAAUACACAAUAAAGAAAUGAAAAAUUUCAAAUAAACAUAUGGAAAACAUGCUCAUUCUUCCCCUGAUUAAAGAAGGGUAAACUAAAACAUUGCUGAUGUAUCUUAACUUACCUGUCAGAUUAGCAGAUUGGCAAAGAUAUAAAAAGUGUCAAGGGUGCACGGAAACAGACAUUUGCAUACAUAGUUUGGAAAAAGCAAUGGCAGUCUUGUCCAGGAUAAUUUGACUGCUGUUAUGAACACUGUAAAUUUAUCUGUACUUUGACCUGUGUUGCCACAUUUAGAAAUUUAUCCUAUAGGUAUCCUCAAAGACCCAAAGAUACACGUCAAAAGAGAUUAAUUGCCCAUUGUUUGUAUUAGUAAAUAACAGGAAAGACCUCAGUAACCAUCAUUAAGGUUUCAUUGUGUCAGUGUUUCUCAAACCUGAGUAGUGCAGCCAUUCCAUUUAAGGGACAAAGUUCUCAGAAACCCAUACUAUUGAAUUUGUUUUUAUUAUGAGGUGUCUUUAAAAUGUGGAACUAUUGAACUAAAUCUAAAACCUGAUGGGUUUAUAGUUCUUAUAAUCCUAUAAAUCAAGAAAAUGUGUAGGGUACAUACAAACAAAUACAAAACCAGUAAAAUCAAGUUAACACUAUUAAGUUUAUAAGAUGUAUAUAUUCUGCUGAAACUGAAGGGCGGUUGCUGUAUUUUUUUUUUAUUUUUUGCUUUUUAGGGCCACAUCCAUGGCAUGUGGAGGUUCCCAGGCCAGGGGUCAAAUCGAAACUACAGCUGCCAGCCUACACCACACCCACAGCAAUGCUGGAUCUGAGCCGAAUCUGCGAUCUACGCCACAGCUCACGACAGCACCGGAUCCUUGACCCACUGAGCGAGGCCAGGGAUCGAACCCACAACCUCAUGGUUCCUAGUCAGAUUCAUUAACCACUGAGCCACAAUGGGAACUUUUUUUUUUUUUUUGAUGCGUAUUAACAAUGGGGUUGUAUAGGCAUGGAUUCAGCUUUAUAUAUAGGACCCAUACUUUCAGUUCAAUAAUACAAAUGAAAAAACGACCUGCUUACAUAAAUAGGCUUUUAAAUUAUGUAAAUACAUUUAGGUUUCGCUUGUUAGUUCAGGCUGUUCAGAUCCACGACUCCUCAAAACCCUCAAAUGCCAGUUUUAAUGAGCUGUCGUUGAGAAUUCAGUGAAGCUUUCUGCAAUUUAUUUGAAGAUAAGGUUAGCAUCCUGCUUAUUGAAAUGUGUGUUAAAUAGUAAUAAAUCUAAUUAUCAUUGGAACGGAGGCCAGAAACAUUCUUCCUGGGGUAUUUACUGCUGUGUUUAUCGGUAAUGAGUCAAGGCGUGGCGCACACACGCACAAUCGCAGACUCCUGUGGACUACAUGUUUGAGUCCUGGUUUUACCUAUUCUACCGGGAAGACUCAGUUCGCCCACCACCCCAACCCUUUUCUCUUUUCAAAUUCCUUUGAAAUGUUUAUUUCGUAGACUUCCAUGAUGUCCUUUGAUCUUCAUUUGCAGUGACCCUGCAACCCCAAGGAUGGUGCUGCAUCUUCUGAUAGUUCUUGAUUAAAAGAUCGCCAUCCUGGUGUUCCCGUCAUGGCUCAGUGGUUAACGAACCCAACUAGCAUCCUUUAGGAUGCAGGUUCAAUCCCUGGCCUCGCUCAGUGGGUCAAGGAUCUGGCGUUGCCAUGAGCUGUGGUGUAGAUUGCAGACAUGGCUUAGAUCCUGUGUUGCUAUGGCUAUGCUGUAGGCCAGAAGCCAUAGCUCUGAUUGGACCCCUAGCCUGGGAACCUCCAUGUGCUGCAGGUGUGGCCCUGAAAAAAAUAAAAA